AGCUGCGGGAGGGAGGCAGAAGAAAGGAGAUGAGGAAAGAAGGAAGGAAAGAAAGAGGAAAAGAAAGAAAGAAGGGACAAAGGAAGGAAGGAAGGAAGGAAGGAAGGAAGGAAGGAAGGAAGGAAGGAAGGGAGGGAGGAGUCCCUCAAGCCUGCAGGAAGGGCCCCUGCCUCUCACCUGGCCUUCGCCCCAGCCGAGGAGGAGGAGGAGGCAGAGGAGGGGGCUGCUGCUGCUGGUACCGCUUGCUGGCUUGGCUCCCCCGCCUCCCUCCUUCCUUGCCUUGGAGAGGACGGAGAAGCGCACCAUGGACCAGCGGCGCCAUCCCACCUUCGGGGCAGAAGGGAAGGCGAAGGUGGCGGGGAAGCAGGCAUUGUGGCCAGGUGGGGGCAGGCACCGGUCAGGCAGGAGCAGGCAUCACGGCCAGCCCCCAUAUGAGAGCUCUAUGAUUGAGGAAAUUAGAUGGUACAGUCAGGAGACUGGAAACCAGGCACCACAUCUAUGGAGGUGACAAUUAUAUAUUUUGCAGUAACAACUUGCAAAAUUGCUGGCUCUUAAAAGAAAGAGGAGGCUGUUGUGAUUGCAAAUGGAGUACUUUAAAUACUGAAGAAAGGCACAAUAUAUUACAGAUUAUAAGUAUUACUUGCAUUACAGGAACUAAACACCGAAUAGAUUUCUCUCUUUCUCCUUCUCUUUGCGGAGUCAGAAGAACGGUUCUAGUUAAACCUGAAACAAAGAGUUUCUGACACCAAUGCUUUAUUUUGAAGCACCUUGACCUCUGAAGUAGACGACCUUGAGUUAUCUCCAAAAAUGCAUAAAACUUAAGCUUUUCUUUUUUGGUAACCCUCAUCAUUUUGGUGUUCUAUUCAUUGCUUUUCUUCUGGAAAUUGUCAAAUGGAAAUAAAACAUAAUCCUAAGAAGUUUUUGAAAAACAAUGACCUGAAGUCUUAG
rnacentral:lncRNA from 11 species